UGUAUCGAUGCCGUUGGGUUCCCAACGUUUAAAAAAAGUUUGCGUGAAAGUUUCCGAAACGAAAAAGCGAAAUCCCGGUCCCGGUGGAGGACCCAAAAAUGGCCUGUCGUCCACUUGUACAACCGGGAUACGUCGACUUGGUUGAUGUCGGAACGGCAAGAUCGGCGAAAUCAUGGUUCACCGCAUCUUUUCGAAGAAUCGACAGCUGGAGAGAUUACUGCGGAGAGUUGCAAAAUGCUUUGGAACUUCGACAGAGCUGCUGGACUGAAAGAAACUUAUACAAUCUGAGCCAAUUUCAUAAAAAAGAUGCUAAAAUCGACCCCAAAGAAAACAUGCAACUCCCAGUUGGAAGAAUCGUUUCCGGAAACGAAACCGCUGGAAAAUUUGUUUCCAAGGACGUUCCUUUCUCUCCGAUGUCGGCAAAGAAAAGACUGAUUGGAUGACGACCGCCAAGGCAAGGUUCCCGGUUUAAGAUCUCUCACCGACGGAAUAGCAACGAAUCACAAGCGCAAAGUUAACGAUUAUCAAAGCCUACUAGAAGCUGAAGUUUUUGAAACCUUCAUCACCGGAAGCCGUAGUAAUUGUUCUAUUAUUUCAAUAAAAUAAACUGUUCGCUCUACAGC